AGAGUUUGAUCCUGGCUCAGGACGAACGCUGGCGGCGCGCUUAACACAUGCAAGUCGAGCGAGAACCGGUCCUUCGGGACCGGGGAAAGCGGCGAACGGGUGAGUAACACGUGAGUAAUCCACCCUCGGCACCGGGAUAGCCCGGGGAAACCCGGAUUAAUACCGGAUGGCCCAGCAGCUCUUCGGGGCGGCUGGAAAAGGUAGCUUUGGCCUCCGGCCGAGGACGAGCUCGCGGCGGAUUAGCUUGUUGGUGGGGUAACGGCCUACCAAGGCGACGAUCCGUAGCUGGUCUGAGAGGACGAUCAGCCACACUGGGACUGAGACACGGCCCAGACUCCUACGGGAGGCAGCAGUGGGGAAUCUUGCGCAAUGGGCGAAAGCCUGACGCAGCGACGCCGCGUGAGGGAAGAAGGCUUUCGGGUUGUAAACCUCUUUCAGGAGGGACGAAGCUACUCGGGUUAAUAGCCCAGAGGGUGACGGUACCUUCAGAAGAAGCCCCGGCUAACUACGUGCCAGCAGCCGCGGUA
rnacentral:rRNA from 1 species